rnacentral:tRNA from 1 species
GCGCCCGUAGCUCAGCUGGAUAGAGCAACGGCCUUCUAAGCCGUAGGUCACUGGUUCGAAUCCAGUCGGGCGUA